AGUUGAAAAUGUUAAGCAAUGAAAGUUCAAGUUAAAUGGGUUAUGAGUGUGGUGAUGAGUUUUAUGACACUCUUGUUGUUCUGUUUCAGAAUACUGUUUUCAUUCCUUGCUGCAUUUUGAGACUGACUGAUCAGAGCACAACCUGCAUUUUCUGCUGCACUUUUCUUCUUGGUUCCUUGUGUUUUGGCGUUUUCCACAGACAGCCG